CCCGAGUGCCAGUGCCGCUUCUACUGCCACUGCCCCAAGCUGACCACGUCCCUCUCUCCCCCUUGAUGGUGCCACACAAGCUGCGCCAGCUAGGGAGCCACGGGAGAGACAGCCACGGCCUUGUGCCCACCAGGAGAGCCCUGGAGCUCAUCUUUGGAGAUCUCUGCAGCCCCAUCACAAGCAAACUCUGGUUUCGUGUGGCCGUGUGGCUCUGGGGGACCCAAGGGACACAGAGAAGGCCGGCUGCAAGCAUGGAGAGCAUGUCAGGACAAACUGGCUGCUGGAGUGGGAUUGGCCUGGGGCCUGGUGCAUUUAACACUUCGUAAGUGGCUUAAAUGACAGGAUAGGAAACGUGCUCACUAAGUGUGCAGAGGAAACCAAGGUGGUGGGUGGCUAAGUCUUGGGAGGGUGGCAGGAGAAUUCAAAAUGACCUUGGUAAACUGGCGACACGGAUGCAGAGGAGACUGUGUAAGCAGGCAUGCUGGUGGCUUGCUUCCUAGAGAACUCGAAAGGCAAAGCGCAAAACUCUCAACGCUUUCAGCUGAAAACAUCCACAUGGUCAGUGGCUCCUCCAAAAGCUACACACAGUCACCGCAUAAGCCAGCAACUCCGCCCCCAGCCACUGACCCAAGAGAACAGACAACAGGUGUCUUAACAGAUACCUGCAGGCACAUGCUCCUAGUGCACUAGUCACGACAGUCAAAGCCGUGAACAAGGCAAACGCCCAGCACUGAGUGGAUAAACAAAAGGACUCUGCACCAUGGAACAGGAUUCAGCCAUAGAAAGGAACAAAGCACCCACACCUGCUACCACAUGGACAAAUCUCAAAACAUGACUGAUGGAAAGCUAAGCAAGCCUGACCCAAGGUCCAUGCACCGCACGAUUCCAGUUUACGAAAUGUCCAGGAUCUUUCCAUCCAUUGAGACAGAACGCAGGGCCCAUGGCAGCUGCCUUCCUCCAUCGCGUCUGUGAAGAGGGAAAGGACCCAGGAGCACAAUGCUGAGACUGGAACCAUCCAAUCCUGAUGGGCAAAAAGAGAAUGAACUUCACGAUCCGGGGAUCUCAGAGGAGCUCACUCAGGUUGGCUUGAAAGCUCUGGCCCCGGCACAGUGUCUAGUGGAGAGGAGCCGUGCGAUAUUUAUCUAUGCAGCUGAUGCAUAAAUGGGCCCACCCAUAAGCUAGGAAGCCGGAGGAUAUUAUUCCAGCCUAUGUUACGCUGAAAGAAGCUGAGGCCCAGAAAAAGAGUGAUUCAUUCAAGGUCACCAAAUGUUUGUCACACAUCGGCACAGCUCACGACACCUUACAGGCCUCCAGGUAAUGGAGAACACGCACCACAGCACAGAGGGAAGGGCAAGCAAGACGAGCUGCUCAGGCUUCCGUGGGAGGCCCCCGGCUGCCUGGGCAAUGUCUCAGGGGAGGAGAUGGGGGUCGUAGGCGGGCUGGGACCAGAUACUGGGGAGUGCGGAGGACCAAGCCCCACAUUUUUUCAGUUGGAUUUUACUGGGUGCAAAGUGCCUCCGUGUUGAAUGCUGGCCCUGUGGCAUGGUUUAGCGGUUUCAGAGUCCUCGGUGACUUAGGUGGGCUCCUCUUAGUGAAACCAGUCCUCUGGGUGUUAAACCAAAGCACUGGGCGAUUUCAUGGAGAAUACGUUUUGUUUGUUUAAAAAAAAAAGAAGAAGAAAGGAAGAAAAAGGGAUGACUUCCAUUUCAGGCCGUCAAUUUAGCACCUUUUAUCAAUCACGUAUAAGCACUAAGGAAAGAGCCAGCAGUCAGGGCGCACGUGGCUCACGUGCGUAGCUCACGGUGCCAAGUGACCGGUGGGCGCUUUUCCCGGCAGCCUCCUGCCUUCCGGGUCCUUGCCUGGUCUGUGCAUGUGUGAGGGGGAAACAGACGCCUGGCGGGUUCAACUUACUCUCAAGACCCCAAGCUGCACUGCGGACGCUCAUUCACCUUUGCUAAGCGACUCCAGGUCUCCUUCCUCUGGUUGGCCCCUGCAGCCCCACCCUCCCCACCCUCCCCACCCUCCCCACCCUCCCCACCCUCCCCACCCUGGAUGUGUGUAUUCGGCUGCCUGAGGGAGAAAUAAACAAGACUGAGGAACGCUGGGGUCCUGGGCGGGGGCUCUGCCUAGAGCUCCCUGCCCUCCUCUGGCCUGGAUGCUCGGCAUGUAUGGAUUCAGUCUGUCUGGCUGCUUUCCUGGCCCCAGAAGCAUUCACCUGAGGCCUGGGGGCUUCCUGACCCUGUGGGCUCCCUCAUCUUGUUCAGGCACUGGGCACUCAGGGCAGGCUCUCAGCCACAGGGGCUGCUGCGGGGUCAGCGGUGGUCAGGGCAGUAGCUCUGGGAUUCAGGGCUGUUCCACCCCCACGACCAAGAGGAACGAAAGAGAACCAGUAAGGCCCGGGAGGCUGCCCGGGAGAGAAAGGCACGCGCCGCGUUGAGAGAGCAGGAGAGUGGGGGAAAGCACAGCAAGAGGCAGCCAGGCUCAUCGGGUUUCUCUGAGAACGCCGGGCGUGCGGCUCCCUCUGCAGAGAUGCUGGGAAACCACUGCACGGUCACAAACGGGGGCUGGCCGGGCGCGGUGGCUCACGCCUGUAAUCCCAGCACUUUGGGAGGUCGAGGUGGGUGGAUCACAAGGUCAGGAGAUUGAGACCAUCCUGGCCAACAUGGUGAAACCCUGUCUUUCCUAAAAAUACAAAAAAGGCGUGGUGGUGGGUGCCUGUAGACCCAGCUACUUGGGAGGCUGAGGCAGGAGAAUGGCAUGAACCCAGGAGGCAGAGCUUACAGUGAGCUGAGAUCAUGCCACUGCACUCCAGGCUGGGUGACAGAAUGAGGCUCCGUCUCAAAAAAAAAAAAAAGAAAGAAAAAAAAGAAACGGGGGACAGUGGGGCGGCUGAUCUCCACUUCACUUCAUCCUUUCCCACCAGGAGAGCCUGAGGAGGGAGCCAUUGCUAGGCCCUGUGGCCAUUCUCCAUGAGAUGACCCCCUCACCUGCCUUCUGAGCAGCGAGUGUCUGGUUAUCUACAGGGCUGUUGUUUUGCUGAGCAUAAAACAGUUUCAGGGCCAGGAUCAAUGGAUUGGGAAAAGGGUGGACCACUGAAGGUGGCAGCCAAGGUCAAACUACCCUGCCCUUCCCGCCCAGUGCCUGGUCUCCCUUUUUGAAAGAUGUCGAUUGGAACAGGUGCCAAAUGAUUGGGGAACCCAGGCAGGUGCCACAUGGCUCCAUUAGGCUCUGCCUGCACUUCCUCCUGCAGCCGCGGUUUGUCAUUACCUGGAGGCAUCACGCAGUCUCCAACACCUGUCCCCCUGCACCACUCUUCCCCCUCUCAGAGUGUGUCUGCUCCUUCCACCCCUCCUCUCUGCAACUGGCUGACUCCUUUGGAAUCUGGAGAGCAUCCGGGCCUUUCGGAAGCCUCUGAACAGCAUCCCUCUUAGCCUCUCACUGCCCCUGCCAGGCUGCCAGAAUCUAUGUCCUAAUUCUGUACUCCUAUACCCUCUUCAGAGUACCCCCAGCACAGUGCAGAUCACUGUCAAAGCAUUCAUUUAAAAACACAACUCCCAGGCCAGGCGUGGUGGCUCACGCCUGUAAUCCCAGCACUUUGGGAGGCUGAGGUGGGUGGAUCACGAGGUCAAGAGAUCAAGACCAGCCUGGCCAACAUGGUGAAACCCCAUCUCUACUAAAAAUACAAAAAUUGGCUGGGUGUGGUGGCACGUGCCUGUAGUCCCAGCUACUCACGAGGCUGAGGCAGGAGAAUCGCUUGAACCAGGGGGGUGGAGGAUGCAGUGAGCUGAGAUCAUGCCACUGCACUCCAGCCUGGCGACAGAGUGAAGGUCCAUCUAAAACAAACAAACGAACAAACAAAAAACAAAAAAUAUAACUCCUGGCCAGGCGCGGUGGCUCACACCUGUAAUCCCAGCACUUUGGGAGACCAAGGCAAGUGGAUCACCGGAGGUCAGGAGUUCAAGAUCAGCCUGGCUAACAUGGUGAAACCCCGUCUCUGCUAAAAAUACAAAAAUUAGCUGGGCAUGGUGGCACAUGCCUGUAAUCCCAGCUACUUGGGAGGCUGAGGCAGGAGAAUUGCUUGAACUUGGGAGGUGGAGGUUGCUGUGAGCUGAGAUUGUGCCUCUCCACACCAGCCAGGGUGACAGAGUGCGACUUCAUCUCAAAAGAAUAAAUAAAUAAAUAAAAACACAGCUCCUGGGAGACAUGGCAGGAGGAUCUCUUGAGCCCAGGAGUUCAAAAUCAGCCUGGGCAACAGAGGGAGACCCCAUCUCUACAAAAUAAUUAAAAAAAAAAUUAGCCAGGCAUGGUGGCACAGCCCAUAGUUCCAGCUACUCAGGAGGCUGAUGCAGGGGGAUCAUUAGCGCCCAGGAUGUCAAGGCUGCAGUAGCUAUGAUCACACCACUGCACUCCAGCCUGGAUGACAGAGUGAGACCCUGCCUCAAAAAUAAAUAAAUAAAUACAUACAUGCAUACAAAUUCUCAUACAAAUAUAUAGUGUGUGUCAAAGAUUUAUUUCACUCAUUAAUGAGGAACUAGUAAGAUGGUAAAACUGGUUCGGAGGGGAAUAUAUGUCAAAGUAUGUAGAGUGAAUGAAAGAAAGAAUGCUCAAUAAGAUCAAAAAGUUAGAAAUAAAACCAGCUAUGAGAGCAAUAUAACCGUGACCUCUGGCUUUGCAACUUACAAUCUUCUAUGAGGUAGCAUCCAACUUCACAGAGUCUGGGCCAAAUCAACAAACAGUAAGUCAAACACAAUUACCUUCUUUAACGUGAUGGCCCCUAGCAGGUUUAUUAAAGCAGGCUCUAGGCCAGGUUCAGUGGCUCACGCCUAUAAUCCCAGCACUGUAGGAGGCCAAAGCGGGAGGUUUGCUUGAGUCCAGGACUUCGAGACCAGCCUGGGCAACGUGGUGAGACCCCAUUCUCUAUAAAACAUACAAAAUCUAGCUAGGUGUGGUGGUGCAUGCCUGUAGUCCCAGCUACUCUGGAGGCUGAGGCAGGAGGAUCGCUUGAGCUCUGAGGGUCUAGGCUGCAGUGAGUGGUGAUUAUGCAACUGCACUCCAGCAUGGGCCACAGAGGGAGACCCCGUCUCAAACACAAACAAGCAGGGCUCUAGUACUGCAGUCAGCAAACUCCGGCCCAGGGGCCGAAUCUGGCCCACUUCCUGUUUUUGUAAAUAAAGUUUUAUUGGAACACAGCCACUGUCACUGGUUUGUGCGGCUGCUGGCCACUUUCAUGCUUUUGCAGCCGAACUGCGGAGCUGGAACUGAGAGCGUCUGACCUGGAAAGCCUCAAGUAUUCACUAUCGGGACCUUUACAGAAAGUGUGGCAAGCCCUGCUGGAGCGCACCACCCCCACGGCACUGACUCCUCCUCGGCUGCUGAGUCCUCUCACCACAUGUGUCAUCACUUCUGGCUGCUUGUGGACUUGCCCUGAGGCAAGGUCAGGGUCUCACGCAUCCCUGCACCUCCAGCAUCUCUCCCAGGGUCCAGCCUCAACUUGGUGUUUAAUGCAUUAACGAAUUUACAAAUGAACAUGCGAAUGAUUUAAAAAUCAGUACUGAAAAUGGGUUGCUUUACACGGAGCUCCAAAACAGAUGAUCACCAAAAAUGUAACUACACUUAGCGACCUCUAGGGGAGAAACUGAAAUUUCUAUAAUAAAAGGUUUACAUUUUUGUCUGGAGAGACCAGGACUCUUUUUUCGUGAGAGACAGGAGUUCUUUAACCCUGGCUGGGCUCCUCUGGCUCUCUAGUUAGAUUUCAAGGCCAAGAAAGAAUGUUCUAGAAGCAACUGGGUGCUCACUAACAAUGUGCUGAUGUAG
rnacentral:lncRNA from 10 species